UCUGAUAAGAGAAACAUGGACAUGACUAGUGAAUGAUUCAGUCUUAGAGUCUUCUGAGUCUGAGGUGCCCCUGACCUUCAGUCCCAUCUUUGUUUCCUGAAGGUGGUCUUUGGAACGUCAACUUCUGCCUUACCAGUUCUGCAUUUGCCUUUCUUGUAUGUACUGAAUUCACAUGUCCAUCUAGCUCGCAGCUGUAACAAAAUACAACUCUAUUUCUCCAUUUUUGCUCAGCCAGUGGUGUCAUAAUAAUGAUCUACUGGGAUGUUUGGUCCCAUUCUUUAUCUUUUCUAGGAGAAGUGUUUCUGACCAGGGUUCAAUUUGCCAGAAGACUGACUUGGCAGAUACUUCCGCCUUGAAAGAUGGGAUUAGGGGUAUUCUCCCACCUUUGUCCCACAAGCUGUACUUUAGAAGGCAUUUCUUUCUCAACACUUUUGGGAAAGUGUUUUUUUUCUGCUGCAAAAUUUUCUUUCUGUGUUCAAGUCUUUCCUCAAAUAGUUUCACUGUCUCAAGGAGCUCCCCAUAUCCAAUCAUCUUCUUCCUUCUCUCCAGUCCAAUCAUGUGCAUUUGGAACCUUCCUUUAUCUAGCCAUCCAGGGCUUGCUUGAGAUAGUCUGAUAGCAUCUACUUCUCUGGGUUUUACUGCCCACUUGACUACUGACCUCUGCAACAGUCUAUCCGUACAAAGCAUCAAGAACUCCAUUCCACCCCUUUCUGCUGAAAAGUGGUGCCAUCAACAAGUGGAGGAAUCUCCUAAACCUACCCGGUUUCCUUUUCCUGAGGGAAGGAGUAAAGACUGAGUUGUUUUAAAGAUAGAGAAGCAACCGCAUCAUGCAUAGAGAACUGUCUUGAAGCCAAGAAGACCUGAGUUCAAGUAACAUGUGAUGGUGAUGUGACCCUCAACAAGGCCCUCCUUUUCUCCACCACCUUCAAUGCUGUGAUGUUGAGUGCUGCCAGCGAAAAAAAUAUAUAUGUAAAAAAAUCCAUUCAAAAGAGCUGCUGAGAUUUAAACUACCUUAAUUAAAGGGGCAGGCCUUUGCUAAGGAGAGAAGAAGAGAACUGGAGUGCAUCCAAGUCUUCUAAUGGAUUUCUGACAACAUGGCAAGGCUGAAUUAAGCACUGGUUCUAUCUUGCAGAAGAGCCUUCAAGUAGAGCUACUACAGAAGACUAUAUCUGUUUGCUGAGGAUCAGCCAAGGUAUGAAGAGACUUGCCACAAGCAUACUGGCCCAUUGGUGAUGAAUACUUAGCUCAUGGUGAACAAAAACACAAACCAACCUUUAGUCCUGUAUAUUCCCUUUCAACUUCCUCUGUAACUGUGGUAGAGUGGUUGAAAAGGGUGUAGAGGCUGCUAAGAACCACACAGUUUUUAGGCCACUAGUAAACAUUAACAUAGCUAUUGUUACAUUAAAUGUGAGAUAUGUGUCCAGGGAUCAAGUGGAUAUAUUAUUGGAGGAAGAGAAUUACAUAAAACCUGAUACUCUUAUUAGAAAUGA